AGUUAAAUAGUACGUGAAAUUGUUGAAAGGGAAACGAUUGAAGUCAGUCAUGCUAGUGAAAAAUCAGUUUGACGGGUUUUGAGUUCUUGAGUAGAGGCAGGGUCAAACCGUUUCUCUUUUGGACUUGAGAUUUGUUAGAUGUACUUUUUCUUUGGCAGGUCAACGUCGGUUUCGGGGGUUGUAAAAUACUUGGGGGAAAGUAGCUCUGCUUCGGGAGAGUGUUAUAGACCCUGGGAGAUGCAGCCUGCGGGAUCGAGGAUUGCAGCAAAUGCCUUCUGGCUUGUCGCCUGUUCCUGGGUGUUACCUCUCUUGUGACAACAUUCUUGCCACCGGAGGGUACUAAUGCCUACUGUUUAGUGCGAUCGAAAAUUUUGCUAAGGAUGUUGACGUAAUGGCUUUAAA
rnacentral:misc_RNA from 1 species